AAACCGCCCAGAGGUAAACGGGUGGAUCCGCAAAGUCGGCCCGCGGAAUUCAGCGCGGCGCGCGGCCCCGGGCGGCCGAGGUACGGGAUCCCUGGGACCCGGCCGCGGUGCCGAGCGGGGUUCCGCCGCGUGCACUUUCCGCGGGCAGAGAGCCACAACCGGUUUCGGUGGGCGGCCACAAGCUUCGGCGGUUGUAGGUGGGGGGCGCCCGCGUCCCCUACCAGCCGCCGCUGSCGAGCCGCGCCCGGACCGAGGGACCGCCGCGCGCUUCGAGGCCACCCUCCCCUCCUGGCGAGUACGACCGGGAGAGACUGGGCGACCGUGUCUCCCGACCGCUCGUCGGCGAUCGGCGUGGGGCUGGCCGGGCGCGCAAACGCCAGGGUUGGUGGCAAGUCUGUCGGCAUUCCACCCGACCCGUCUUGAA
rnacentral:rRNA from 1 species